rnacentral:rRNA from 1 species
CGAAAGUUAGAGGUUCGAAGGCGAUCAGAUACCGCCCUAGUUCUAACCAUAAACGAUGCCAACCAGCGAUCCGCCUGAGUUCCUCAAAUGACUCGGCGGGCAGCUUCCGGGAAACCAAAGUGUUUGGGUUCCGGGGGAAGUAUGGUUGCAAAGCUGAAACUUAAAGGAAUUGACGGAAGGGCACCACCAGGAGUGGAGCCUGCGGCUUAAUUUGACUCAACACGGGAAAACUUACCCGGCCCGGACACUGGAAGGAUUGACAGAUUAAGAGCUCUUUCUUGAUUCAGUGGGUGGUGGUGCAUGGCCGUUCUUAGUUGGUGGAGCGAUUUGUCUGGUUAAUUCCGAUAACGAACGAGACUCUAGCCUACUAAAUAGGCGUUCCGAUCAUUCAUGUCGGACGUUCUUCUUAGAGGGACAAGCGGCUUUUAGCCGCACGAGACAGAGCAAUAACAGGUCUGUGAUGCCCUUAGAUGUCCGGGGCCGCACGCGCGCUACACUGAAGGAAUCAGCGUGUGCUUUCCCUGUCUGGUAGGACUGGGUAACCCGUUAAACCUCCUUCGUGAUAGGGAUAGGGGCUUGUAAUUGUUCCCCUUGAACGAGGAAUUCCCAGUAAGCACGAGUCAUAAGCUCGUGUUGAUUACGUCCCUGCCCUUUGUACACACCGCCCGUCGCUACUACCGAUUGAAUGAUUUAGUGAGGUCUUCGGACUGGCGCUCGUAGCGACCGUUUGGCCGCGCCGACGUGCCGGAAAGAUGACCAAACUUGAUCAUUUAGAGGAAGUAAAAGUC